rfam:Sorghum bicolor cultivar BTx623 chromosome 6, whole genome shotgun sequence.
GGCAAUGAUGAAUUGCCCUUUGAAUUAGAUGUAGAUCACUCCAAGUCUCUGAUUUUCAGGGAGAACCUACUUGGGGUCCUACAUUGGAAUGAGAUAUACGGGCUUUACUGAGCA